UACAGAGGGUGCGAGCGUUAAUCGGAAUUACUGGGCGUAAAGCGCACGUAGGUGGCGACGUAAGUCGGGUGUGAAAGCCCCGGGCUCAACCUGGGAAUUUGCAUUCGAGACUGCAUUGCUGGAGUACGGAAGAGGAAGGCGGAAUUCCCGGUGUAGCGGUGAAAUGCGUAGAUAUCGGGAGGAACAUCAGUGGCGAAGGCGGCCUUCUGGUCCAGUACUGACACUCAAGUGCGAAAGCGUGGGGAGCAAACAGG
rnacentral:rRNA from 1 species